GCUGUACCGUUCACCUGCUUAUUACCCGUAAGCAUGCCUACAGCAGUGCUGACCAGUGCCACUGAGGAAAGCAAAUGGAAAAAGUGUCUGACUCAGUGGCACGGUGAAUUCCCGGCCUGAGUCUCUGCUGGUCCACACUGCCCCUUGGCCCAGAUGUUUGUUACCUGGGUGGUUCCCGCCUUCUUUGCCCUCAUUCAGCACUGCAAGACUUCACCACUGUGGGACUCUUGUGGGUCUACACGCUGAAUAGACUGACUCAGAAGUGCACAUGAAUGGGCUUUCGCUGACCAAAUCGGGAAAUUUACAAAUAAGAAGGUAUCAACUGUCCAGUGGAGGUCAAGAAUAAAUUAUAAAUGGAGAACAAUUCCCAAGUGUCUGUGAAUACUACAACACAGAACAGCAAGGCACUUUCCAGUGAUGAAUAUUCUUAUUUUUCCUUGUCGAUGGAGGCAGAAAAUAUCACCAUGCACACCAAACCCCAGAAUUCCCAUCGGUCUUUAUGGAUGAAGCCCAGCUUAUUUAAUAUUCCUAAAAUGAUAUGCCAAGAAUCAUCAUUUCUAUGCUGGGUGCAAUGUUUACAGUGUUAAAAUUAAUUAUAACGGAGACCCAGCCUGAAGAAUCUCUGCACAGACUAAAGCCAGUUAGACCAACCAACCAAGUGUUUUAUUUGCUUUACUUUUGUAUAAAAAACUGCCAUCUGUGUUUCACCAGUACAGUGGAAACCACCUUUGGUUUGGAGCUGUUUGAUUUAUAAACUGCUCAGAUAAACUCUCAAGUUUUAUUGGACUCCAGUUUAUGUUUUCACAAAUUUUAUUCCAAUUUUAAGUUGUUCUAAAUUUAUGACAUCCUUAUUCUGCAAUUAAUAUUAAAUUUUGGAACAAGAACUAUUUAUGUAGUAUCAUAAUAUCCAGAUGAAAGCAUUGUUAGAAAAAAAAAAAAAAACUUAUAGAGGCAACGUUUGUGCUCUUCUAAAUUUCC
rnacentral:lncRNA from 1 species